UACGGAGGGUGCGAGCGUUGUCCGGAGUUACUGGGCGUAAAGGGCAUGCAGGCGGUCGGACGCGUUUCGGGUGACAGCGGGUGGCUUAACUACCCGAGUGGUCGAAAGACGGUUUGACUUGAGGACGCGAGAGGGACACGGAAUUCCGGGUGGAGUGGUGAAAUGCGUAGAGAUCCGGAGGAACACCGAAGGCGAAGGCAGUGUCCUGGCGCGUAACUGACGCUGAGGUGCGAAAGCCAGGGGAGCGAACGGG
rnacentral:rRNA from 1 species